UUAGCAGGGUUAAAGUCCCUCCUAAGAAAUAGGGGGUUAACUCUGGAUUAACUUGCCUUGUGCUCUUUGCUGUUGGCUGUGGGUAACAGAAUUAGGCAUGUUCAGAAGCGCAUGGGACAUGGGGAGCUUUUUCUUCUCAAAGGAGAAACUUAAGAGCUGAUGGGGAGGCUGGAGAUCAAGAUCCCUUUGUGGCUGACAAGCAGCCGCCUGACCUUUUGAUUCAGUGUCACUGCGCUAGACUAUGGAAAUGAUAUUAAACAAAAAGCAAAUUUGAGCGAUUUUCUUAUUCAUGUUCAAAAUGGGUCUAAAGCAGUGGAGACAGCUUGCAACAACAACAAUGCAUUUGGCCUAGGAACUGCUAAUGAACUUACGGAGCAGUGGUGGUUCAAGAAGUUUUGCAAAGGAGACAAGAGGUGUGAAGAUGAGGCGUGUAGUGGCCAGCCAUCAGAAGUGGAUUAUGACUAGUUGAAAGCAAUCAUCAAAGCUGAUCCUCUUACAACUACACAAGAAGUUGACAAAGAGCUCAACAUCAACCAUUCUAUGGUCAUUCAGCAUUCGAAGCAAAUUGGAAAGGUAAAAAAGUUUGAUAAGUGGGUGCCUUAUGAGCUGAGUGAAAAUUAAAAAAAAAUUGUCAUUAUUUUGAAGUGUUGUCUUAUUCUACAUAACAACAACAAACCAUUUCUCGAUCAGAUUGUGAUGUGCGAUGAAAAGUAGAUUUUAUACAACAACUGAUGACAACCAGAUCAGUGGCUAGACUGAGAAGAAGCUCCAAAGCACUCUCCAAAGUCAAAUGUGCACCAAAAAAAGGUCACAGUCACUGUGUGGUGGUCAGUUGCUGGUCUGAUGCACUACAGCUUUCUGAAUUCCAGCGAAACCAUUACAUAUGAGAAGUAUGCUCAGCAAAUCAAUGAGAUGCCCUGAAAACUGCAACACCAGCAACUGGCAUUGGUCAAUACAAAGGGCCCAAUUCUUCUCCAAAACAAUGCCAACUGCACACAAUGCUUCCAAAGUUGAAUGAAUUGAGCUAUAAAGUUUUGCCUCAUCUGCAAUGUUCACUUGACCUCUCGUCAACUGACUACUACUGCUUCAAGCAUCUUGACAACUUUUUUUGCAGGAAAAACACUUCCACAACCAGCGGAAUGCAGAAAAUGCUUCCUAAGAGUUUGUCAAAUCCCAAAGCAUAGAUUUUUAUGCUACAGGAAUAAACUUAUUUCUCAUUGGCCA